GCAGGCAGCUCUGAGGAAGAACCGAGUAUUCCUUAACGCGGUCCUUCCCUCGGCGCACUCCCGGCUUUGGCUUGGGGAGGGGGGUGGCGAGGCAGGGCUGCGAGUUCGCGCGAGGGCGCGCUCUGCGCAGGCGCGAGCGGGGUGUCGGCGGGUACCAGUCUCGGAAUCCAAGGAGGUUAGAGAAACUGCUGGGAUUGGGUCCAUCCUGAAGGCCCUUGGAAGAAGGGAGAGGAUGGAGGAGAGAUUUAAGAGCUGGAUACAAGGUCAAGAAAAAGGAAGGGAUCAUUCUUGGCACAUUCAAAGCUGCCUGGAAUGUAGCUUGCCUGGCUUUGGCAGAGUUCUCAAAAUGGCCUUGCAGUCAUAUAAACAGUGCUGAGUCCAGAGACACAAGCUCUUGUAAGAAGGAUGGAUUACAAGACAAGAGACCAGCUACAGUUUGACAAGAUACAAGAUCCACAACAAAACAGGCAACCAAUGCAGGUGCUGUCUCUGCCCGACAAAAGCCAGUGCUGUCUCGGAUAGAACACAGAACACAGACUGGGAUGUCCCCAAAAUAGAGAUAACGACCAGAAAGUACAGCAUCUUUUCAAUGCCAAGUCACCUGAAAAUAUACAUCUGCCUUGAAUAUUUGCUCUGACCACUGUAUGUGAUAGAUGUGCCAGACUUCUCUUUCCAAUGCCCUAUAAAGCUUCCUGCCUUUUCUUUGUUUGGGACUGACGGCCUCUUGCUUGCUGUCAGUCCACCUCUGCCCAGGUGAAUAAAGUCCGUACCUCUU
rnacentral:lncRNA from 1 species